AACGAACGCUGGCGGCGUGCCUAACACAUGCAAGUCGAGCGAGAAAGUCCGCAAGGAUGAGUACAGCGGCGCACGGGUGCAUAACACGUGGGUAAUCUGCCCUGAAGCCCGGAAUAACCUCCCAAAAAAAAGCUAAUGCCGGAUAAGACCACGGGAGCCCUGGCUCCUGCGGGAAAAGGUGGCCUCUGUACACAAGCUAUCACUUCUGGAUGAGCCCGCGGCCCAUCAGCUAGUUGGCGGGGUAACGGCCCACCAAGGCUACGACGGGUAGCUGGUCUGAGAGGACGAUCAGCCACACUGGAACUGAGACACGGUCCAGACUCCUACGGGAGGCAGCAGUGGGGAAUCUUGCGCAAUGGGCGAAAGCCUGACGCAGCAACGCCGCGUGUGUGAUGAAGGUCUUCGGAUCGUAAAGCACUGUCGGGAGGAAAGAACAAGCCUGUGGCUAACAUCCACGGGCCUUGACGGUACCUCCAAAGGAAGCUCCGGCUAACUCUGUGCCAGCCGCCGCUGUAACAC
rnacentral:rRNA from 1 species